ACUUCCGCCCCCUCCCCCUGCCAUUGGAACUAGCUGAGCCGAACUAGUUGCGGCCACCGAGCAGCCGGCUCUCGGCACCUCCUCCUCCGCCUCCCUGUCUCCUGUUCCAUUCGCCUUUCCUCUUCUUUCCUGGCCCACGCCGCUCCGAGGCCUCGCGACCGCCGAGCCUGCAGCCUGCCCCGCGGCCAACAUGAGCUUCUUGUUGGCUUCGAGUACUCGUGGGCUCCUGCAGCCCUGAGGAGGUUCUUCCCCCCCGGCACACCCCGGGGCCAGCGCCUGGAUUCCUUCAUCACCCCCGUCUCUGCCUUCGCUCGCAUUCCCGGGCUUGUUUGUGCGCUUCUCGUGGGUAUCUCCCACUCGCCUGCACAAUCCGUAUCCAAGCGGUGCUCGGUUGAAUGGCUCCGUCGCGGCUGCCCAUUGCUCUUUUCUGGGUCCCAAGCACAGAAGAUAAGACUGUCGUACUUUCCCCUGUCAUCCCAGGACCCUUUUAACUUCCUCUCUCGUCUUAGGGCUGGGAAGUUGGGAUGACAAGUUCUGUAGAUGUAACACUGAAACAAGGCUACUUGCGGGUCGGGAUCCCUUGGACACAGACGGGGGUCCCUGAGAAAGGGGUCUGGAGCCGCCCCCUUGCUUCCUAGAGGCGCCCUUCCUCCCAGAGGACUUCCCUGAAGAGGAUGAGUUUUAUCUUUUUAGACAACCAGCAAAUAGGUUUUGGAUAGUGUGCCCUGCCUAGGUUGAUUAGGUCCACUGGGGAGUUGUUUUGAAAAUCAUUUGUAAAUGCCAACUUUGGCGUCAUGUUUAGUGCUGGUCAUUAUUUCACUUACUUAUCGUUUGUUCCAGACGAGUGGAGGGGAACGUGGAGGGGGAAGGGCAGAAGGAUGGGAUGGCCAGAUGUGGAUAUGGAGGCAGUAGAUAAGCCUCAGGUCCUCUGAAAACAGGGGUUACAGCCUGAGGAAUAACUCCUUUGAAGGCUUCGUUGUGAUGCACUCAUUCCAUGUUUAGUCUGUGUUUAGAAAACUAAUAAAAAAC
rnacentral:lncRNA from 1 species